GACGAACGCUGGCGGCGUGCCUAAUACAUGCAAGUAGAACGCUGAAGAGAGGAGCUUGCUCUUCUUGGAUGUGUUGCGAACGGGUGAGUAACGCGUAGGUAACCUGCCUGGUAGCGGGGGAUAACUAUUGGAAACGAUAGCUAAUACCGCAUAAAAUUGAUUAUUGCAUGAUAAUUAAUUGAAAGAUGCAACUGCAUCACUACCAGAUGGACCUGCGUUGUAUUAGCUAGUUGGUGAGGUAACGGCUCACCAAGGCGACGAUACAUAGCCGACCUGAGAGGGUGAUCGGCCACACUGGGACUGAGACACGGCCCAGACUCCUACGGGAGGCAGCAGUAGGGAAUCUUCGGCAAUGGGGGGAACCCUGACCGAGCAACGCCGCGUGAGUGAAGAAGGUUUUCGGAUCGUAAAGCUCUGUUGUAAGAGAAGAACGGGUGUGAGAGUGGAAAGUUCACACUGUGACGGUAUCUUACCAGAAAGGGACGGCUAACUACGUG
rnacentral:rRNA from 1 species